ACGCUCGACACCUACGGGGGCAGCAGUGGGGAAUAUUGCACAAUGGGCGAAAGCCUGAUGCAGCAACGCCGCGUGAGCGAAGAAGGCCUUGGGUCGUAAAGCUCUGUCCUCAAGGAAGAUAAUGACGGUACUUGAGGAGGAAGCCCCGGCUAACUACGUGCCAGCAGCCGCGGUAAUCUGAGGCGGGCGUGGCGAAGGC
rnacentral:rRNA from 1 species